rnacentral:rRNA from 1 species
CAAUAGCGUAUAUUAAAGUUGUUGCAGUUAGAACGCUCGUAGUCGGAUUUCGGGGCGGGCCGACCGGUCUGCCGAUGGGUAUGCACUGGUCGGCGCGUCCUUCCUUCCGGAGACCGUCCCUACUCUUAACUGAGCGGGGGCGGGAGACGGGACUUUUACUUUGAAAAAAUCAGAGUGUUUCAAGCAGGCAGCUCGCUCUUGCAUGGAUUAGCAUGGGAUAAUGAAAUAGGACUUUGGUGCUAUUUUGUUGGUUUCGAACACCGAAGUAAUGAUGAGAAGGGACAGUCGGGGGCACUCGUAUUCCGCCGAGAGAGGUGAAAUUCUCAGACCAGCGGAAGACGAACCACUGCGAAAGCAUUUGCCAGGGAUGUUUUCACUGA